UCAAAAACAAAAUUAUAAAAUAGGUGCCAUGCAUGUAAAGGAAGCCAUGCAUGGACUUAACUCACUUUUGUUUUCCACAUAAGCCCAUCUCAUUCUCUUUUGGAUUGAAAAGCCCACCUCUAAUGUGUGCUAUAAUUUGAAGCAGUAACUAAAUCUUGUGUAGCAGUAUAUAUUGUUGCGUUUCCCUUUGAUUUUCACGCGUCUCCUUUUCUUCUUCUUUUUUAAAAAAAAAACUAUUCCAUCUCGUUACUACGAACCCUAGCCGUCAUAUUCUUCUUCAUGAUUCACUGAUUUCAUACGUCCGAAACUCCUCUCCAAUUGCUGAAAUAAUCCCCAUCAAACUGGAUUAUGUCUCGUCUCAGCUGUAGUAGACUCAAUCCUCUACAAUCUUAACAUUUGAAAUCGUAAUUUCGACCCAUCGACUGUUCGUACUUCAGAGGCGAAUCAGAGUUAGGUUGCUUACCAGGUUUCACGUGGAAUAGCAAGUAGUUUGUGAUUUGAGCAUUUGUCGAUCUCCGUUUCUUCAUUCCCGGAGGUUCUUUAUUUAUUUUCAGAUUAAAAGAGUCGAACUGUUUUAAACUCUUAGACCGCAGUAGU